rnacentral:siRNA from 1 species
UGGGUGUUCUUCUGUCGUGCGACC